rnacentral:rRNA from 1 species
UACGAAGGGGGGCGAGCGUUGUUCGGAUUUACUGGGCGUAAAGGGCGCGCAGGCGGCGCAUUUUGUCAGGCGUGAAAGCCCCCGGGCUUAACCUGGGAACUGCGUUUGAUACGGAUGGGCUAGAGUUCGGGAGAGGAGAGUGGAAUUCCCAGUGUAGAGGUGAAAUUCGUAGAUAUUGGGAAGAACACCGGUGGCGAAGGCGGCUCUCUGGGACCGAGACUGACGCUGAGGCGCGAAAGCGUGGGGAGCAAACAGGAUAGAAACCCUUGG